UCGAAUCCCGCAACGAGCAGACCGCGCACACGUAUAAGCUGCAUGGGGCACCCGAUGGGAAGGUGCGCGUGCGCCUCCCGUUGGUUUGCUCCGCACCCCCGGCCGAUACCCUCGCGCGAGCGAGUGCAACAGGCUGGGCCAUUAACAGACCCACGGCGUAUUACGGCGCCAAGGAUCACAAACGCGGAGCGCUGCCCUCGUCGUGCACCCGUUCGUGGUGUGCCGUUCGGGGGAUGUGCGUCUCCCAAGAUUGCAUACGGAAAAAAU
rnacentral:misc_RNA from 1 species